rnacentral:lncRNA from 1 species
AGCAAAUAUAAGAAUCAGAACAUUGUUGCCACUCAGCAGCUUUUUUUGCAGAGGCACAAGGAUUGGACAAUUGGUAGCUGGACUAAAUUGAAAAGGUCAAGCUUUGUAUGUUUUGAGCAAACAAUUAUUUGUCAAAUGAUAUGCAAGCUUAAUGACUAAAAGUUGUAUUAAGGGUUCUACUGGGGGCUUAGUGAAGAGCAGUUGUGUGGGUGUGUGGCCUGCUUGCACUUGUGCUGCUGUCCUUUUGCGCGCUGCUGUUUCCACGCGCAGAUUGCGUGCUGCUGUUUCCACGCGCAAAAGGAAGCUGCAUUCCUGUGCGUAGCAGAUUUGGUGGUCUUGUGUUUGGUCAGGGUUUGGUGGUCGUGUGUUUGGCCUUUUGUGCCAUUGUACUUGGGUCCAUUUGGGACUGUUUCUUCUCUUAAUUUAAUGAUGCGCAGCUCUCCUGCGCGUUCACGAAAAAAUGUGUUCACAUUUCACAUGUUUUUAAUAUAUUGAUUGUGUACCAAAUGAUAAUAACACAUUUCAAGAUAAGUAUAUGGUCAUGUUUUAGUUUUGAAGACACUCA